rnacentral:rRNA from 1 species
GAUGAACGCUGGCGGCGUGCCUAAUACAUGCAAGUCGAGCGAACAGAUGAGGAGCUUGCUCCUCUGACGUUAGCGGCGGACGGGUGAGUAACACGUGGAUAACCUACCUAUAAGACUGGGAUAAAUUCGGGAAACCGGAGCUAAUACCGGAUAAUAUAUUGAACCGCAUGGUUCAAUAGUGAAAGACGGUUUUGCUGUCACUUAUAGAUGGAUCCGCGCCGCAUUAGCUAGUUGGUAAGGUAACGGCUUACCAAGGCAACGAUGCGUAGCCGACCUGAGAGGGUGUUCGGCCACACUGGAACUGAGACACGGUCCAGACUCCUACGGGAGGCAGCAGUAGGGAAUCUUCCGCAAUGGGCGAAAGCCUGACGGAGCAACGCCGCGUGAGUGAUGAAGGUCUUCGGAUCGUAAAACUCUGUUAUUAGGGAAGAACAAAUGUGUAAGUAACUAUGCACGUCUUGACGGUACCUAAUCAGAAAGCCACGGCUAACUACGUG